GCUUAACACAUGCAAGUCGAGGGGCAGCACAGGUAGCAAUACCGGGUGGCGACCGGCGCACGGGUGAGUAACGCGUAUGCAACUUGCCUAUCAGAGGGGGAUAACCCGGCGAAAGUCGGACUAAUACCGCAUGAAGCAGGGGCCCCGCAUGGGGAUAUUUGCUAAAGAUUCAUCGCUGAUAGAUAGGCAUGCGUUCCAUUAGGCAGUUGGCGGGGUAACGGCCCACCAAACCGACGAUGGAUAGGGGUUCUGAGAGGAAGGUCCCCCACAUUGGUACUGAGACACGGACCAAACUCCUACGGGAGGCAGCAGUGAGGAAUAUUGGUCAAUGGCCGAGAGGCUGAACCAGCCAAGUUGCGUGAGGGAUGAAGGUUCUAUGGAUCGUAAACCUCUUUUAUAAGGGAAUAAAGUGCGGGACGUGUCCCGUUUUGUAUGUACCUUAUGAAUAAGGAUCGGCUAACUCCGUGCCAGCAGCCGCGGUAAUACGGAGGAUCCGAGCGUUAUCCGGAUUUAUUGGGUUUAAAUGGUGCGUAGGCGGCCUUUUAAGUCAGCGGUGAAAGUCUGUGGCUCAACCAUAGAAUUGCCGUUGAAACUGGGGGGCUUGAGUAUGUUUGAGGCAGGCGGAAUGCGUGGUGUAGCGGUGAAAUGCAUAGAUAUCACGCAGAACCCCGAUUGCGAAGGCAGCCUGCCAAGCCAUUACUGACGCUGAUGCACGAAAGCGUGGGGAUCAAACAGGAUUAGAUACCCUGGUAGUCCACGCAGUAAACGAUGAUCACUAGCUGUUUGCGAUACACUGUAAGCGGCACAGCGAAAGCGUUAAGUGAUCCACCUGGGGAGUACGCCGGCAACGGUGAAACUCAAAGGAAUUGACGGGGGCCCGCACAAGCGGAGGAACAUGUGGUUUAAUUCGAUGAUACGCGAGGAACCUUACCCGGGUUUGAACGCAUUCGGACCGAGGUGGAAACACCUUUUCUAGCAAUAGCCGUUUGCGAGGUGCUGCAUGGUUGUCGUCAGCUCGUGCCGUGAGGUGUCGGCUUAAGUGCCAUAACGAGCGCAACCCUUGCCACUAGUUACUAACAGGUAAAGCUGAGGACUCUGGUGGGACUGCCAGCGUAAGCUGCGAGGAAGGCGGGGAUGACGUCAAAUCAGCACGGCCCUUACAUCCGGGGCGACACACGUGUUACAAUGGCGUGGACAAAGGGAAGCCACCUGGCGACAGGGAGCGAAUCCCCAAACCACGUCUCAGUUCGGAUCGGAGUCUGCAACCCGACUCCGUGAAGCUGGAUUCGCUAGUAAUCGCGCAUCAGCCAUGGCGCGGUGAAUACGUUCCCGGGCCUUGUACACACCGCCCGUCAAGCCAUGGGAGCCGGGGGUACCUGAAGUCCGUAACCGCGAGGAUCGGCCUAGGGUAAAACUGGUGACUGGGGCUAAGUC
rnacentral:rRNA from 1 species